rnacentral:tRNA from 1 species
GGGGCCGUAGCUCAGUUGGGAGAGCGCCUGAAUCGCGCUCAGGAGGUCAGGGGUUCAAGUCCCCUCGGCUCCA